rnacentral:rRNA from 1 species
UUGGAGGGCAAGUCUGGUGCCAGCAGCCGCGGUAAUUCCAGCUCCAAUAGCGUAUAUUAAAGUUGUUGCAGUUAAAAAGCUCGUAGUUGAAUUUCGGGAUCAAUACGUCGGUCGUGCUUUUUUGGUACGCACUGGCGUCAUUGGUUUCUCCUUUCUGACGAACCAUGAUGUCAUUAAUUUGGUGUUAUGGGGAGUUAGGACUGUUACUUUGAAAAAAUUAGAGUGUUUAAAGCAGGCAUUAGCUUGAAUACAUUAGCAUGGAAUAAUGAAAUAGGACGUUCGAUCCUAUUUUGUUGGUUUCUAGGAUCAACGUAAUGAUUAAUAGGGAUAGUUGGGGGCAUUAGUAUUCAAUUGUCAGAGGUGAAAUUCUUGGAUUUAUUGAAGACUAACUACUGCGAAAGCAUUUGCCAAGGAUGUUUUCAUUAAUCAAGAACGAAAGUUAGGGGAUCGAAGACGAUCAGAUACCGUCGUAGUCUUAACCAUAAACUAUGCCGACUAGGGAUCGGAUGAUGUCAAUUUUUUAAUGACUCAUUCGGCGCCUUACGGGAAAC